rnacentral:rRNA from 1 species
GAACUGCGAAUGGCUCAUUACACCAGCCUUAAUUUACUUGACCUUGACACCCUACUUGGAUAACUGUGGUAAUUCUAGAGCUAAUACAUGCACCAAAGCUCCAAUCUCCCCAGAGCGGAGCGCAUUUGUUCGCCACAAAACCAAGCGCCUCAGGGCGUUCAGUGUUGACUCAGAACAACUAAGCUGAUCGCACGGUCUUGCACCGGCGACGUGUCUUUCAAGUGUCUGCCUUAUCAACUUUCGAUGGUAGUGUAUCUGACUACCAUGGUGAUGACGGGUAACGGAGGAUAAGGGUUCGACUCCGGAGAAGGGGCCUGAGAAAUGGCCACUACGUCUAAGGAUGGCAGCAGGCGCGCAAAUUACCCACUCUCGACGCGAGGAGGUAGUGACGAGAAAUAACGAGACCGUUCUCAUCUGAGGCCGGUCAUCGGAAUGGGUACAAUUUAAACCCUUUAACGAGUAUCUAUGAGAGGGCAAGUCUGGUGCCAGCAGCCGCGGUAAUUCCAGCUCUCAAAAUGCAUAGAAUUAUUGCUGCGGUUAAAAAGCUCGUAGUUGGAUCUGUGCUGAGCGACCGGUCUGCCCACUGGGCACGCACUGGCUCGCCCGGCUUUCCCUGCCGGUCUCUCUCUGACGUUGGUUUUAACCGGCUGGCGUCAGUGGGCUGGCGAGUUUACUUUGAACAAAUCAGAGUGCUUCAAACAGGCGUCUCGCCUGAAUGUUCGUGCAUGGAAUAAUAGAAGAGGAUCACGGUCCGAUUUUAUUGGGUUUUGCUGACCGAGAUAAUGGUUAACAGAGACAAACGGGGCCAUUCGUAUUGCUACGUGAGAGGUGAAAUUCUUGGACCGUAGCAAGACGGACUACAGCGAAAGCAUUUGGCAAGAAUGUCUUCAUUAAUCAAGAACGAAAGUCAGAGGUUCGAAGGCGAUCAGAUACCGCCCUAGUUCUGACCGUAAACGAUGCCAACUAGCGAUCCGCCGGCGGAUUCAUUCGCCCUGGUGGGGAGCUUCCCGGAAACGAAAGUCUUCCGGUUCCGGGGGAAGUAUGGUUGCAAAGCUGAAACUUAAAGGAAUUGACGGAAGGGCACCACCAGGAGUGGAGCCUGCGGCUUAAUUUGACUCAACACGGGGAAACUCACCCGGCCCGGACACCGUAAGGAUUGACAGAUUGAUAGCUUUUUCAUGAUUCGGUGGAUGGUGGUGCAUGGCCGUUCUUAGUUCGUGGAGCGAUUUGUCUGGUUUAUUCCGAUAACGAGCGAGACUCUGGCCUACUAAAUAGUUGGCACAUUGCCACUGUGUGCACAACUUCUUAGAGGGAUUUUCGGUGUUCAGCCGCACGAAAUUGAGCAAUAACAGGUCUGUGAUGCCCUUAGAUGUCCGGGGCUGCACGCGCGCUACACUGGCAAAAUCAGCGUGCUUGUCCUCCCCCGAAAGGGGUUGGUAAACCGAUGAAAAUUUGCCGUGAUUGGGAUCGGACAUUGCAAUUAUUGUCCGUGAACGAGGAAUCCCUUGUAAGGGCGAGUCAUCAACUCGUCCUGAAUACGUCCCUGCCCUUUGUACACACCGCCCGUCGCUGCCCGGGACUGAGCCAUUUCGAGAAAACCGGGGAUUGUUGGCCUGACGGCUCUCGGGUCGUCUAGCCGAUGAGAACCGGCUUAAUCGCACUGGUUUGAACCGGGCAAAAGUCGUAACAAGGUAGCUGUAGGUGAACCUGCAGCUGGAUCA